UACGAAGGGGGCUAGCGUUGUUCGGAAUCACUGGGCGUAAAGGGCGCGUAGGCGGCCGAUCAAGUCGGGGGUGAAAGCCUGUGGCUCAACCACAGAAUUGCCUUCGAUACUGGUUGGCUUGAGACCGGAAGAGGUAAGUGGAACUGCGAGUGUAGAGGUGAAAUUCGUAGAUAUUCGCAAGAACACCAGUGGCGAAGGCGGCUUACUGGUCCGGUUCUGACGCUGAGGCGCGAAAGCGUGGGGAACAAACAGG
rnacentral:rRNA from 1 species